rnacentral:lncRNA from 1 species
GAACGGCGGUGGCGUCAUGCUCUGGUGACAGCACCGCCGCCCGCGACAACGAUUUGCCAUGAGCUGGCCGUUUGGAGCGAGCUUCGGCCAAUUUUGACCAAUUUUGUACUCAUCCUUGCAAGAAAACACGUUAAGAAGCAUCAGUUGACCCAAAAAAAUCAAAAAAUAAAAGUCCGGUGCGGCAGCUCUGCCGGCUCACCUUUGCAAUUGAGCAAUUUUUUUGUUAACAUUUGAAAAACAAAAUGAUGAAUACAAUGAUGAAAAAAUUGCAUGAAACAGAAAUCGGGAAGGGCCUCAUCGGAUGCAGUUUUUUAUUUUUUCCGUGGCAGCGCUGCCGGGGUUUACUGGUAGUUUUCAGCUCAUCUGCCAAUCCUUUUACUCCGAUUUGGCCAUGAGGGUUAUCAAAAUCAAAUUUCGAGAGACAAUAAUUUUUUUACCUUUUUUGGCGGUCGGAAGUGACUUUAACACGACAGCGGACGACCGGUGAUUCCCUUCUUAGCGACUGGUUAUUCUUCUCCAGGCGGGGGGCUGGCGGCUAGGGUUAGAGUUUGGUAUGAAGUGAGGUAUUUAUAUCUAUUUUUUAAUCUGAAU